rnacentral:rRNA from 1 species
CUGCUGCCUCCCGUAGGAGUUUGGGCCGUGUCUCAGUCCCAAUGUGGCCGUCCACCCUCUCAGGCCGGCUACUGAUCGUCGCCACGGUGGGCCGUCACCCCGCCGUCUAGCUAAUGCGCCGCAUGCCCAUCCGCCACCGGAUCGCUCCUUUGGCCACCGGAGGAUGCCCUCCGGUGGCGUCACGGGGUAUUAGGCCGCGUUUCCGCGGGUUAUCCCCCUGUGGCGGCCAGGUUGCAUACGUGUUACUCACCCGUGCGCCGGUCG